rnacentral:rRNA from 1 species
CGCGGCCUAUCAGCUUGUUGGUGAGGUAACGGCUCACCAAGGCUUCGACGGGUAGCCGGCCUGAGAGGGCGACCGGCCACACUGGGACUGAGAUACGGCCCAGACUCCUACGGGAGGCAGCAGUGGGGAAUAUUGCACAAUGGGCGAAAGCCUGAUGCAGCGACGCCGCGUGCGGGAUGACGGCCUUCGGGUUGUAAACCGCUUUCAGUAGGGACGAAGCGAGAGUGACGGUACCUACAGAAGAAGGACCGGCUAACUACGUGCCAGCAGCCGCGGUGAUACGUAGGGUCCAAGCGUUGUCCGGAAUUAUUGGGCGUAAAGGGCUUGUAGGCGGUCCGUCGCGUCAGAAGUGAAAACUCAGGGCUUAACCCUGAGCCUGCUUUUGAUACGGGCGGACUAGAGGGAUGCAGGGGAGAACGGAAUUCCUGGUGGAGCGGUGGAAUGCGCAGAUAUCAGGAGGAACACCGGUGGCGAAGGCGGUUCUCUGGGCAUUACCUGACGCUGAGAAGCGAAAGCGUGGGGAGCAAACAGGCUUAGAUACCCUGGUAGUCCACGCCGUAAACGGUGGGCACUAGGUGUGGGGGACAUUCCACGUUCUCCGUGCCGAAGCUAACGCAUUAAGUGCCCCGCCUGGGAGUACGGA